AUGUUGUUUGGAAUAAUUGUGGGAUCUUUGGCUGAUAAACAGGGUCGGAAGAGGGCUUCUGUAACUUACUGCUUAACUUACAUUGCGAGCUGCAUCACCAAACAUUCUCCUCAGUACAGAAUUUUGAUGUUGGGAAGAUCACUUGCAUCUAAGUUGAUGGCUCGUUCAUCAUUCCGUGUAGAGAGCUACAUGCAGAUUGUUUUUGUAGUUUCUUAUGCUUCUCUAAUGCUUCCCAUUCUUACAACCUUUUUCGCACUUCCUACCAAAGCAACCAGUUCAGCCCUGCAUAGAAAGAUUAAAAAGCAAAAAUCAAUACACAGUUAA
rnacentral:lncRNA from 1 species